rnacentral:rRNA from 1 species
CCUACGGGCGCUGCAGUGGGGAAUAUUGGACAAUGGGCGAAAGCCUGAUCCAGCCAUGCCGCGUGUGUGAAGAAGGCCUUCGGGUUGUAAAGCACUUUCAGUGGGGAAGAAAGCCUUGGGGCUAAUACCCUCGAGGAAGGACAUCACCCACAGAAGAAGCACCGGCUAACUCCGUGCCAGCAGCCGCGGUAAUACGGAGGGUGCGAGCGUUAAUCGGAAUUACUGGGCGUAAAGCGCGCGUAGGCGGUCUGAUAAGCCGGUUGUGAAAGCCCCGGGCUCAACCUGGGAACGGCAUCCGGAACUGUCAGGCUAGAGUGCAGGAGAGGAAGGUAGAAUUCCCGGUGUAGCGGUGAAAUGCGUAGAGAUCGGGAGGAAUACCAGUGGCGAAGGCGGCCUUCUGGACUGACACUGACGCUGAGGUGCGAAAGCGUGGGUAGCAAACAGGAUUAGAUACCCUAGUAGUC